rnacentral:rRNA from 1 species
UGGGGAAUAUUGCACAAUGGGGGAAACCCUGAUGCAGCGACGCCGCGUGAACGAAGAAGGUAUUCGUAUCGUAAAGUUCUGUCCUAUGGGAAGAUAAUGACAGUACCAUAGAAGAAAGCUCCGGCUAAAUACGUACCAGCAGCCGCGGUAAUACGUAUGGAGCGAGCGUUGUCCGGAAUUAUUGGGCGUAAAGGGUACGCAGGCGGUUUAAUAAGUCGAAUGUUAAAGAUCGGGGCUCAACCCCGCAAAGCAUUGGAAACUGAUAAACUUGAGUAGUGGAGAGGAAAGUGGAAUUCCGAGUGUAGUGGUGAAAUACGUAGAUAUUAGGAGGAAUACCAGUAGCGAAGGCGACUUUCUGGACACAAACUGACGCUGAGGUACGAAAGCGGGGGGAGCAAACAGG